CCUACGGGUGGCUGCAGUGGGGAAUAUUGCACAAUGGGCGCAAGCCUGAUGCAGCCAUGCCGCGUGUGUGAAGAAGGCCUUCGGGUUGUAAAGCACUUUCAGCGGGGAGGAAGGCGGUGAGGUUAAUAACCUCAUCGAUUGACGUUACCCGCAGAAGAAGCACCGGCUAACUCCGUGCCAGCAGCCGCGGUAAUACGGAGGGUGCAAGCGUUAAUCGGAAUUACUGGGCGUAAAGCGCACGCAGGCGGUCUGUCAAGUCGGAUGUGAAAUCCCCGGGCUCAACCUGGGAACUGCAUUCGAAACUGGCAGGCUAGAGUCUUGUAGAGGGGGGUAGAAUUCCAGGUGUAGCGGUGAAAUGCGUAGAGAUCUGGAGGAAUACCGGUGGCGAAGGCGGCCCCCUGGACAAAGACUGACGCUCAGGUGCGAAAGCGUGGGGAGCAAGCAGGAUUAGAUACCCAUGUAGUC
rnacentral:rRNA from 1 species